rnacentral:rRNA from 1 species
CUCCGUGUCCGAAAGGCUCACGGUAAUCAGUAAUAUGCGUCGUGAUGGGGAUAGAUCUUUGUAAUUCUUGAUCUUGAACGAGGAAUUCCUAGUAAACGCAAAUCAUCAAUUUGCAUUGAUUACGUCCCUGCCCUUUGUACACACCGCCCGUCGCACCUACCGAUUGAACUGCAAGCUGAGGGUUCGGGAUUGUGGUUGGUUCCCUUGAUUGGGAAUGUUGACUGCGAGAACUUAUCCGAACCUUACCGUUUAGAGGAAGGUGAAGUCGUAACAAGGUUUCCGUAGGAACCUGCGGAAGGAUCAUU